rnacentral:tRNA from 1 species
UGGGUUUGUAGUUAAUAUAAUAAUAGGGGUUUUGUAAACUUCAGUAAAAUCAAAUAAGGUUUUGAGCUCAA